rnacentral:rRNA from 1 species
GAUGAACGCUAGCGGCAGGCUUAAUACAUGCAAGUCGAGGGGCAGCAUGACUGUAGCAAUACAGUUGAUGGCGACCGGCAAACGGGUGCGGAACACGUACAGAACCUUCCUUCGAGCGGGGAAUAGCCCAGAGAAAUUUGGAUUAAUACCCCAUAGUACAACGGAGUGGCAUCACUUUGUUGUUAAAGAUUUAUCACUUGAAGAUGGCUGUGCGGCUGAUUAGGUAGUUGGCGGGGUAACGGCCCACCAAGCCUGCGAUCAGUAACUGGUGUGAGAGCACGACCAGUCACACGGGAACUGAAACACGGGCCCGACUCCGACGGGAGGCAGCAGUAAGGAAUAUUGGUCAAUGGACGAAAGUCUGAACCAGCCAUGCCGCGUGGAGGAUGAAGGUCCUCUGGAUUGUAAACUUCUUUUAUAUGGGACGAAAAAAGGGUUUUCUAACUCGUCUGACGGUACCAUAUGAAUAAGCACCGGCUAACUCCGUGCCAGCCGCCGCAGUAAAAC